AUUGAACGCUGGCGGCAGGCCUAACACAUGCAAGUCGAGCGGAUGACGGGAGCUUGCUCCUUGAUUCAGCGGCGGACGGGCGAGUAAUGCCUAGGAAUCUGCCUGGUAGUGGGGGACCACGUUUCGAAAGGAACGCUAAUACCGCCUACGUCCUACGGGAGAAAGCAGGGGACCUUCGGGCCUUGCGCUAUCAGAUGAUCCUAGGUCGGAUUAGCUAGUUGGUGGGGUAAUGGCUCACCAAGGCGACGAUCCGUAACUGGUCUGAGAGGAUGAUCAGUCACACUGGAACUGAGACACGGUCCAGACUCCUACGGGAGGCAGCAGUGGGGAAUAUUGGACAAUGGGCGAAAGCCUGAUCCAGCCAUGCCGCGUGUGUGAAGAAGGUCUUCGGAUUGUAAAGCACUUUAAGUUGGGAGGAAGGGCAGUAAGUUAAUACCUUGCUGUUUUGACGUUACCGACAGAAUAAGCACCGGCUAACUCUGUGCCAGCAGCCGCAGUAA
rnacentral:rRNA from 1 species